rnacentral:rRNA from 1 species
UACAGAGGGGGCAAGCGUUGUUCGGAAUUACUGGGCGUAAAGGGCGCGUAGGCGGCCACGCACGUCCGUUGUGAAAUCGCCCGGCUCAACUGGGCGGGGUCAGCGGAUACGGUGUGGCUCGAGCAAGCUAGGGGGCAAUGGAAUUCCCGGUGUAGUGGUGGAAUGCGUAGAUAUCGGGAGGAACACCAGUGGCGAAGGCGGUUGCCUGGAGCUUUGCUGACGCUGAUGCGCGAAAGCGUGGGGAGCGAUCCGG